rnacentral:rRNA from 1 species
ACCCCUUUGUGAUUCAUGACUGGGGUGAAGUCGUAACAAGGUAACCGUAGGGGAACCUGCGGUUGGAUCACCUCCUUACCUUAAAGAAGC